GACGAACGCUGGCGGCGUGCUUAACACAUGCAAGUCGAACGGAAAGGCCCUGCUUUUGUGGGGUGCUCGAGUGGCGAACGGGUGAGUAACACGUGAGUAACCUGCCCUUGACUUUGGGAUAACUUCAGGAAACUGGGGCUAAUACCGGAUAGGAGCUCCUGCUGCAUGGUGGGGGUUGGAAAGUUUCGGCGGUUGGGGAUGGACUCGCGGCUCAUCAGCUUGUUGGUGGGGUAGUGGCUUACCAAGGCUUUGACGGGUAGCCGGCCUGAGAGGGUGAGCGGCCACAUUGGGACUGAGAUACGGACCAGACUCCUACGGGAGGCAGCAGUGGGGAAGAUUGCACAAUGGGCGGAAGCCUGAUGCAGCAACGCCGCGUGCGGGAUGACGGCCUUCGGGUUGUAAACCGCUUUCGCCUGUGACGAAGCGUGAGUGACGGUAAUGGGUAAAGAAGCACCGGCUAACUACGUG
rnacentral:rRNA from 1 species